GUGUAGGUCAGUGGUACAGCUCUUGUCUAAAAUACAGGAGGCUCUGGGUUUAAUUCCCAGCAC
rfam:Cavia porcellus supercont2_83 genomic scaffold, whole genome shotgun sequence.